UACGUAGGUGGCAAGCGUUGUCCGGAUUACUGGGCGUAAAGAGCGCGCAGGCGGUCGGAUCAGUCGAAUGUGAAAGCCCCCGGCUCAACUGGGGAGGGUCAUUCGAUACUGUCCGACUCGAAGGCAGGAGAGGGAAGCGGAAUUCCCGGUGUAGUGGUGAAAUGCGUAGAUAUCGGGAGGAACACCAGUGGCGAAGGCGGCUUUCUGGCCUGUUCUUGACGCUGAGGCGCGAAAAGCUAGGGGGAGCGAACGGGGAU
rnacentral:rRNA from 1 species